rnacentral:rRNA from 1 species
UCAGGAUGAACGCUAGCUACAGGCUUAACACAUGCAAGUCGAGGGGCAGCAUUUCAGUUUGCUUGCAAACUGGAGAUGGCGACCGGCGCACGGGUGAGUAACACGUAUCCAACCUGCCGAUAACUCGGGGAUAGCCUUUCGAAAGAAAGAUUAAUACCCGAUGGUAUAAUCAGACCGCAUGGUCUUGUUAUUAAAGAAUUUCGGUUAUCGAUGGAGAUGCGUUCCAUUAGGCAGUUGGUGAGGUAACGGCUCACCAAACCUUCGAUGGAUAGGGGUUCUGAGAGGAAGGUCCCCCACAUUGGAACUGAGACACGGUCCAAACUCCUACGGGAGGCAGCAGUGAGGAAUAUUGGUCAAUGGGCGCAGGCCUGAACCAGCCAAGUAGCGUGAAGGAUGACUGCCCUAUGGGUUGUAAACUUCUUUUAUAUGGGAAUAAAGUUUUCCACGUGUGGAAUUUUGUAUGUACCAUAUGAAUAAGGAUCGGCUAACUCCGUGCCAGCAGCCGCGGUAAUACGGAGGAUCCGAGCGUUAUCCGGAUUUAUUGGGUUUAAAGGGAGCGUAGGUGGACAGUUAAGUCAGUUGUGAAAGUUUGCGGCUCAACCGUAAAAUUGCAGUUGAUACUGGCUGUCUUGAGUACAGUAGAGGUGGGCGGAAUUCGUGGUGUAGCGGGGAAAUGCUUAGAUAUCACGAAGAACUCCGAUUGCGAAGGCAGCUCACUGGACUGCAACUGACACUGAUGCUCGAAAGUGUGGGUAUCAAACAGGAUUAGAUACCCUGGUAGUCCACACAGUAAACGAUGAAUACUCGCUGUUUGCGAUAUACAGUAAGCGGCCAAGCGAAAGCAUUAAGUAUUCCACCUGGAGAGUACGCCGGCAACGGUGAAACUCAAAGGAAUUGACGGGGGCCCGCACAAGCGGAGGAACAUGUGGUUUAAUUCGAUGAUACGCGAGGAACCUUACCCGGGCUUAAAUUGCAUUUGAAUAUAUUGGAAACAGUAUAGCCGUAAGGCAAAUGUGAAGGUGCUGCAUGGUUGUCGUCAGCUCGUGCCGUGAGGUGUCGGCUUAAGUGCCAUAACGAGCGCAACCCUUAUCUUUAGUUACUAACAGGUCAUGCUGAGGACUCUAGAGAGACUGCCGUCGUAAGAUGUGAGGAAGGUGGGGAUGACGUCAAAUCAGCACGGCCCUUACGUCCGGGGCUACACACGUGUUACAAUGGGGGGUACAGAAGGCAGCUACCUGGUGACAGGAUGCUAAUCCCAAAAGCCUCUCUCAGUUCGGAUCGAAGUCUGCAACCCGACUUCGUGAAGCUGGAUUCGCUAGUAAUCGCGCAUCAGCCACGGCGCGGUGAAUACGUUCCCGGGCCUUGUACACACCGCCCGUCAAGCCAUGGGAGCCGGGGGUACCUGAAGUGCGUAACCGCGAGGAGCGCCCUAGGGUAAAACUGGUG